GACAGAGCCAAACACAAACAGGGAGACUUCUGCUUGUUUGUCCCUUACCAUUUCCUCCAGGGAGUUAAGAUUAGUCUUAAUUAAUAAGGUUAUGAUCUUAGCUUAAAAGGCCAUGAAGCUGUAGGACUAGGUAUUUCCACAUUCAGUGACCCAUGGAGGUCAUUACCCAACAAUUCUUGAAUGCCUUAAAACCUGUGAGCAACUCUGAGGAGACUAGAAAACUUUGUGCACAUGGAUAAGGCCCCAAACAACAUGAAAAAUGGCCACUUAUUUCCACAACAACACAUGUUGUAGUGAAUUGUCAUUUUUAAUGGCUAUUUAACAAACUAGGUGCUCAGCUGCCAACUUCAUUAUUCUUUAGGAGGCUACCAGCACUUCUUCCUUUCUCCCACAGGAGUUGUGGAGAUGUACAGCUCAAGCACCAAAGAGAUAAGAAGCCAAGGCAAGGACAGGAAAAGACAGAAAUCUUUAAACUGCUGUUAAGGCACAGCCUGGAUCCUUACCCUGUGUCAGCUUCCUUACCCUGAGGAAGCUUUUGAGGUG
rnacentral:lncRNA from 1 species